GCCGUCGUAGCACAAUGGUAGUGCGUUGCCUUCCUAGGUCUUAGAACCAGGCAAAGGUUGCGGGUUCGAUCCCCGUCGUCGGUA
rfam:Rhizopogon vinicolor AM-OR11-026 unplaced genomic scaffold K503scaffold_177, whole genome shotgun sequence.